CUGCAGGUUAGGUUACAAAGCAGCUGCUGCAGUGCUGUUCUGUCGUUCCCCCUGCAAAUAGGAACUGGUUUCCUCCAAUCCCAGUCUGCUUUGUUUCCUACAGCAGACAGGGGCACUAGGUCUCCAACAC
rnacentral:snoRNA from 1 species